rnacentral:rRNA from 1 species
UACGGGGGGAGCAAGCGUUGUUCGGAUUUACUGGGCGUAAAGGGCGCGUAGGCGGCCACCGCAAGUCAAUUGUGAAAUCUCCGGGCUCAACCCGGAAAGGUCAACUGAUACUGCGGGGCUAGAGUGCAGAAGGGGCAACUGGAAUUCUCGGUGUAGCGGUGAAAUGCGUAGAUAUCGAGAGGAACACCUGCGGCGAAGGCGGGUUGCUGGGCUGACACUGACGCUGAUGCGCGAAAGCUAGGGGAGCGAACGGG